GACGAACGCUGGCGGCGUGCUUAACACAUGCAAGUCGAACGGUGAAGGUGGGAGCUUGCUCCUGCUGGAUCAGUGGCGAACGGGUGAGUAACACGUGAGUAACCUGCCUCAAAGUGGGGAAUAACACCGGGAAACCGGUGCUAAUACCGCAUACUCUGAUGGAGCCUGCGGGCUUUGUCAGGAAAGGAGCAAUUCGCUAUGAGAGGGGUCCGCGGCUGAUUAGCUAGUUGGUGAGGUAAUGGCUCACCAAGGCAACGAUCAGUAGCCGGUCUGAGAGGACGGUCGGCCACACUGGGACUGAGACACGGUCCAGACUCCUACGGGAGGCAGCAGUGGGGAAUUUUUCGCAAUGGGGGAAACCCUGACGAAGCAAUGCCGCGUGGAUGAUGAAGUAUUUCGGUACGUAAAAUCCUUUCGACAGGGACGAAACCGCAAGGUUGACGGUACCUGUAGAAGAAGCCCCGGCUAACUCCGUGCCAGCCGCCGCAGUAAUAC
rnacentral:rRNA from 1 species